rnacentral:rRNA from 1 species
CGGUCGGAAAUCGUACGUAGAGUGUAAAGGCAAAAGAGAGCUUGAUUGCAAGACAUACAGGUCGAGCAAGGAUGAAAAUCGGACUUAGUGAUCCGGUGGUUCUGCGGGGAAGGGCCAUCGCUCAACGGAUAAAAGCUACCCUGGGGAUAACAGGCUUAUCUCCCCCAAGAGUCCACAUCGACGGGGAGGUUUGGCACCUCGAUGUCGGCUCAUCACAUCCUGGGGCUGUAGUAGGUCCCAAGGGUUGGGCUGUUCGCCCAUUAAAGUGGUACGCGAGCUGGGUUCAGAACGUCGUGAGACAGUUCGGUCCCUAUCCGUCGCAGGCGUAGGAAAUUUGAGAAGACCUGUCCUUAGUACGAGAGGACCGGGAUGGACGUACCUCUGGUGUACCAGUUGUCCUGCCAAGGGCAUGGCUGGGUAGCUAUGUACGGAAUGGAUAAGCGCUGAAAGCAUCUAAGCGCGAAGCCAACUUCAAGAUAAGAUUUCCCACCGCAAGGGUAAGACCCCAGAAAGACUAUCUGGUUGAUAGGUCGAAGGUGUAAGUGCAGUAAUGUAUUUAGCUUAUCGAUACUAAUAGGUCGAGGACUUGACCAAU